rnacentral:rRNA from 1 species
AAACGACAUCGAAAGCUUGCUUUUGAUGGGCGUCGACCGGCGCACGGGUGAGUAACGCGUAUCCAACCUGCCCAUCACUUGGGGACAACCUUGCGAAAGUAAGACUAAUACCAAUGACGUCUCUAGAAGACAUCUGAAGGAGAUUAAAGAUUUAUCGGUGAUGGAUGGGGAUGCGUCUGAUUAGCUUGUUGGCGGGGUAACGGCCUACCAAGGCGACGAUCAGUAGGGGUUCUGAGAGGAAGGUCCCCCACAUUGGAGCUGAGACACGGUCCAAACUCC